CCGUGUUUCAGUUGGCAGCCGGCCUGUUUCUUUUAAGCCCGCCCUAAUUUAUUUUUGGUCCCAUGCAUAGGAGCCAGUGCUUAUUUUGAUAACCGCGUUUAUGCUUUCAAGCUUUGACAGACAAAUCAUUGCCCUGGGCUUCCUGGCGGCCACGAGCUCCGGCUCACCUCCCGCUCUGAGGAGCCGCGGACCCUCCAGCAGACCCAGGUCUGUUCUCUGCAAUUAGUUAUCUUGCAGUUGAGCCCCUCCUGGACAGUUGUCCCUGAAAAGAGAAAAAAGACAAACGCAGGAUGUAAAGCCCUUUCUAAACUCUCAUCUUCUGUGUAAAUGGUAGGAAGCGGUGCUCACUGUCUGUGGGGGUUAAAGAGGCAUGUUAGCCACGGUGGGGGGACUCUCUUGGGCUGCAUUGCUGGCGCAGGCCCCCUCCAGGCACGUCCUGGCUGCAGGUCCCCAGAGGGGAGUUUCCUAGUCUGGGAGGGUAUUCCCAAAGCCCAGAAGAAGCCUCUCUUCACAACAUUCCCAGGAAACUCUUCCCCCAUCCGUGGGUGCCUCUCAUCCCAGCUGCUCUAAUUAGACAGGAGACGUCAGCCCAGCACCUCCUGCCCCUCCUUCUCCAGCCUGAGCAUAGAAGGCAGGAUCGAGCCAGGUUAUGGGGUGAAAAGCCAAGCCCGGGCUCUCAGACAGAAGCUGCUUUGCCGUUUGGCCUCAUCCAACUCAGGCAACGACUCCCAGUUGUUCCUCGGAUAACACGGAGCACGGCGAGGUCAGAGGAAGGGGAGCGGAGUCCCGCCUGCUGGCCGGCUGCCAGGCGGAGCUGGAGCACCUGGGCACCACAUGUGCCCUCUGCUCGGGGACCGCUGUUGACCCGACAGGCGCACGUUCCACACCCACACCGUCGCUGCUUUGCUCAGAGGGACCAGGGCUGGAGGCCGAGCUGAGACAGGCCGGGCCGGCUUCCUUUCCGCUGCCCGCCUUUCUCCUCUCUGCACCGCCCAGACCCGUGCGUGGCACCCCUUCCUGCCUGGCAGUGCAAAGGAGCGGCUGCCCGACCUCCGCUUGGUGAUUGCAGCAGCAGAUCCUGGUGCCCGUGUGGGUUCCUCAUGCCUCGGUAUCUCUGCUGGAAUUCAUCUGGGAGAAGCCACAGGAAGAGAACUCCGUUCUCAUGAGCAGGUGGGGUUGGGCCAUGUCACCGGCCGUCCAUGUCAUGGUUGGUCCACAGGGUCCCUGGACACAGACACUGGAGAGCUCCCCCGGGGCCCACAGCAGGACUUUCAACUGGCAAACCCACCAGUGUCGUCAUUAGAGGAAGAGCCGGCUGCUGGGCACAGAUGAGGACCGGUGGGGGCCAGGCACGAAAGCCAAGCUAGCCACACGGGCAGCCAACACGGCCCAGCCCGGCAGCCCCAUGCAGGAGGCUCUGGAAUGGCAGUGAUGCCCUCUCAGCCAGGACUGUCCAGACCAGGGGGAUGAAGGCAGCCAGGGUUGCCUCAGAAUUAAGAGCAUCUUUCUUUGAGC
rnacentral:lncRNA from 10 species